AUGUCAACCGAAAGAUCAGCAGUUCAGCGUCCACUCCACUGUCCAACUUGCCCACUGUCCACUGUCCAACUUGUGGAGUCUGGGCCAGGAAGAGCAAGCCCUGGAGCCCUUCAGGUUAACUUGCAAAGUGACAGGGCAAUCGAUCGAGAAUGCAGAUUGGCAUUGGGUCCGCCAGGCUCCAGGAAAAGGAUUAGAAUGGGUGGACUUGGAGAGUGAUGAAUACUAUGCCUCAUCCCUCCAAAGCCGAACAUCUUUGACUGCUGAUGACCCCCGCAAUGAAUAUUAUUUGGCCAUGAAGUCCCUGACAGCUGCAGACACAGCCACAUAUUACUGUGCAAGAGAGUCACAGUGA